rfam:Angiostrongylus costaricensis strain Costa Rica genome assembly, scaffold: ACOC_scaffold0002409
GCAGCGAUGUCCGAGAGGUCAAGAAGAUUAACUAGAAAUCAAUUGGGCUCUCCCCGCGUAGGUUCGAAUCCUGCUCGCUGCC